AGAGUUUAAUGACCCCUCAUAUCUAUCCUAACUUCAACACUCUAAUGAACAUGGCUAUUGCAAUAGAAAAAGCUAAGGCAGAGGAAAAGAAAGACAACAAAUGCAAGUUUAUGGAAUAAAAGGCUCGUCACCAAGAUAGGUUCCAGAAGAAAAAGAAUUUUAGCUACUCCGGAUAGAGGACUCAAGCUCCGAUGCAUUAUAGGACUCAAGCAUCAGUUUCUUACCAGCCUAAUCCUUUGUACAAGAUUCAAAGCAAUGUCAAGACUCGGCAGAAUAGCACUGGACAAGUCACUAACAUCAGCAGGGCUUGUUUCAACUGUCGUGAGACUGGACACUUCAUAGCAAAUUGUCCUUAUGCAAACAAGCCAAUUGCAUCCACCUUCUCCAACACUAUGAAUGGACCAAGGCUAGAUAUGUCAAGAGCCAACCAUGUCCCUAUCCGCAAC
rnacentral:lncRNA from 1 species